AGAUUGAACGCUGGCGGCAGGCCUAACACAUGCAAGUCGAGCGGCAGCACGGGUACUUGUACCUGGUGGCGAGCGGCGGACGGGUGAGUAAUGCCUAGGAAUCUGCCUGAUAGUGGGGGAUAACGUUCGGAAACGGACGCUAAUACCGCAUACGUCCUACGGGAGAAAGUGGGGGAUCGUUCGGACCUCACGCUAUCAGAUGAG
rnacentral:rRNA from 1 species